rnacentral:tRNA from 1 species
GCCCAGUUGGUGGAGCAUGCGACUCUUGAUCUUGGGGUCAUGGGUUUGAGUCCCAUAUUGGGCA